rnacentral:lncRNA from 1 species
AGUAAUUAGCUGUAACAAAUUGCCUUAUUAUUUAGACAGCAAAAUAAACGGGUUUUUGUUUUGUUUUGUUUUUUAGUUCCAUGUGUGGCAAGAAUUAUCAUCAUAAAUCUAUGCAAAAGUGGCAGUCAAACUACCAUAAAGGAGGCAUAUAAGCAAACUACUUUGGGAUUGUUGGGUUUCUUCCUCUGGUGUGGCCACCACAGCAGAUACAUGAGAUGGUGGGUGGAAGGUGAACUGACAGCAGAACCCAGCCCAGGGCAUUUUCCACUGGGAAAUGGGCUCCACCUCAUCCUGGUCCCCUGCCUCCCAGCAAAUUAUGGAUCACUUAGAGGACAUCAAAAUAUAUUGAUGUCAUUGAGACUGGAGAAGUGUUGAACCAUUCAGUGGAAUACAUGAAGUAUUGCACGUGAGUAAACAGGUUAAGGCUCAGUCUAGGCAAGAUACUAUCUCCACUGCUCACUUGACAAACCAACAUCGGAUUCAGGGCACAUCCCAAUCUUGGUGAGAUUAGAUUCCCUCUGAAGGACUAGGGCUGCAGCUUGUGGGGUAGGGAGUGGGGGGUACUCUUAAAUCUGGCAUUGUUUCUGGAAACCAGAUGGCAGCAGUGGCCAGGAAGGGCCUUUGCUCAGUGACAGCUUUGUCCCUUCCUGAAGAAAGGACAUCUGGCCACAAUGAUCAAUGCUUUCUGUACCUAUCAGUGACAUUACUGUAAUGCACCUAUAAUGUGCUUCCCUUAAAAAGACUCAGAAGCUGCUGCUAGCUAGAAUAUUGCAUAAAUUACAUGAAUUAGUUUAUUUUAGAGGGUUUUUCCUCUAUAAAGCCUUACAUGGCUUAGGACCAGCGAUAGAUAAAAUACUGCCUCCUACUUUAUGGGUUUCCUCCUGGGCUGUGAUUUCACAGGAGGUAGUAUUGUGCAUCUCACCACCCAAGCAGGCUGAUCUGGUGGGUACUGUACACAACAUGGCCUUUUCUGUAACAGCUCCCCAACUAGAAACUUCCUCCUCCAGAAGGAGGUUCAACUGACUCCAGCCUCAACAAGUAUUAGAUGGGUUGUAACAAAUCACAUUGCUUCAUGAGUGUUGAUUAAUUUAAAUGUUCUGACUUGUGCUUCAUGAUGCUUUGUUGCUGCCUCAGUUGUGCAUCCCACCACCCAAGCAGGCUGGUCUGGUGGGUACUGUACACAACAUGGCCUUUUCUGUAACAGCUCCCCAACUAGAAACUUCCUCCUCCAGAAGGAGGUUCAACUGACUCCAGCCUCAACAAGUAUUAGAUGGGUUGUAACAAAUCACAUUGCUUCAUGAGUGUUGAUUAAUUUAAAUCUUCUGACUUGUGCUUCAUGAUGCUUUGUUCUGCCUCAGUUCUGUUAUCACUGUGC